rnacentral:rRNA from 1 species
AGCCACACUGGGACUGAGACACGGCCCAGACUCCUACGGGAGGCAGCAGUGGGGAAUUUUGGACAAUGGGGGAAACCCUGAUCCAGCCAUCCCGCGUGUAUGAUGAAGGCCUUCGGGUUGUAAAGUACUUUUGGCAGAGAAGAAAAGGUACCUCCUAAUACGAGGUACUGCUGACGGUAUCUGCAGAAUAAGCACCGGCUAACUACGUGCCAGCAGCCGCGGUAAUACGUAGGGUGCAAGCGUUAAUCGGAAUUACUGGGCGUAAAGCGUGUGUAGGCGGUUCGGAAAGAAAGAUGUGAAAUCCCAGGGCUCAACCUUGGAACUGCAUUUUUAACUGCCGAGCUAGAGUAUGUCAGAGGGGGGUAGAAUUCCACGUGUAGCAGUGAAAUGCGUAGAUAUGUGGAGGAAUACCGAUGGCGAAGGCAGCCCCCUGGGAUAAUACUGA